CCUACGGGGGGCUGCAGUGGGGAAUAUUGGACAAUGGGGGCAACCCUGAUCCAGCCAUGCCGCGUGUGUGAAGAAGGCCCUCGGGUUGUAAAGCACUUUCAGUGAGGAAGAACACCUGGUGGUUAAUACCCAUCAGGAAAGACAUCACUCACAGAAGAAGCACCGGCUAACUCCGUGCCAGCAGCCGCGGUAAUACGGAGGGUGCGAGCGUUAAUCGGAAUUACUGGGCGUAAAGCGCGCGUAGGUGGCUUGAUAAGCCGGUUGUGAAAGCCCCGGGCUCAACCUGGGAACGGCAUCCGGAACUGUCAAGCUAGAGUGCAGGAGAGGAAGGUAGAAUUCCCGGUGUAGCGGUGAAAUGCGUAGAGAUCGGGAGGAAUACCAGUGGCGAAGGCGGCCUUCUGGACUGACACUGACACUGAGGUGCGAAAGCGUGGGUAGCAAACAGGAUUAGAUACCCUUGUAGUC
rnacentral:rRNA from 1 species